rnacentral:rRNA from 1 species
AUACCGGGGUAGCCCUCUGU